CCUACGGGUGGCAGCAGUGGGGAAUAUUGGACAAUGGGGGGAACCCUGAUGCAGCCAUGCCGCGUGUGUGAAGAAGGCCCUCGGGUUGUAAAGCACUUUCAGUGGGGAGGAACGCCUUAUGGUUAAUACCCAUCAGGAAUGACAUCACUCGCAGAAGAAACACCGGCUAACUCCGUGCCAGCAGCCGCGGUAAUACGGAGGGUGCGAGCGUUAAUCGGAAUUACUGGGCGUAAAGCGCGCGUAGGUGGCUUGAUAAGCCGGUUGUGAAAGCCCCGGGCUCAACCUGGGAACGGCAUCCGGAACUGUCAAGCUAGAGUGCAGGAGAGGAAGGUAGAAUUCCCGGUGUAGCGGUGAAAUGCGUAGAGAUCGGGAGGAAUACCAGUGGCGAAGGCGGCCUCCUGGACGGAGACUGACACUGAGGUGCGAAAGCGUGGGUAGCAAACAGGAUUAGAUACCCCAGUAGUC
rnacentral:rRNA from 1 species